AGUGAACGCUGGCGGUAGGCCUAACACAUGCAAGUCGAACGGCAGCACAGUAAGAGCUUGCUCUUACGGGUGGCGAGUGGCGGACGGGUGAGGAAUACAUCGGAAUCUACUUUUUCGUGGGGGAUAACGUAGGGAAACUUACGCUAAUACCGCAUACGACCUACGGGUGAAAGCAGGGGAUCUUCGGACCUUGCGCGAUUGAAUGAGCCGAUGUCGGAUUAGCUAGUUGGCGGGGUAAAGGCCCACCAAGGCGACGAUCCGUAGCUGGUCUGAGAGGAUGAUCAGCCACACUGGAACUGAGACACGGUCCAGACUACUACGGGAGGCAGCAGUGGGGAAUAUUGGACAAAGGGCGCAAGCCUGAUCCAGCCAUACCGCGUGGGUGAAGAAGGCCUUCGGGUUGUAAAGCCCUUUUGUUGGGAAAGAAAAGCAGCAGGUUAAUACCCCGCUGUUCUGACGGUACCCAAAGAAUAAGCACCGGCUAACUUCGUG
rnacentral:rRNA from 1 species